UACGUAGGGUGCAAGCGUUGUCCGGAAUUAUUGGGCGUAAAGAGCUCGUAGGCGGUCUGUCGCGUCGGCUGUGAAAACUUGGGGCUCAACCCCAAGCCUGCAGUCGAUACGGGCAGACUAGAGUGCGGUAGGGGAGACUGGAAUUCCUGGUGUAGCGGUGAAAUGCGCAGAUAUCAGGAGGAACACCGGUGGCGAAGGCGGGUCUCUGGGC
rnacentral:rRNA from 1 species